AUGUGCACUGUGUGAAUGUUAGUCAGACCACAGUCUAGUGAGUCUUUCGCAAACGAGGCCCUAUAUUUGAAGAGGAGAGCACGCAGUCUUUCUCGUUCCUCGUCGGAAGGGAACCUGGCCAGAGACCCAGUGAUUCCAGCUCCAUCUUCAUCCAGGCCCUCUGAAAGCGUGAACAGUUCCACUGCUGUGUGUCGUGGUCAUAGCCAGGAAGCUGAGGAGGAGGACAGCCAGAGGCAGAUGGCAAUGGUUGGCCUGGUAAAGGGAAAAACAGUGUGUGGUGGCUGCAGCGGGCGCUGACUCGUCACUGUAGAUGUCCCCAGGGAAGAACGUUGCGCUGCAAACAUGGAAUUUUUAUUAAUUACAACAAAACAGAGAAGCAUGUCUGACAUCUGGACCCUGGGUUGUACUUGUUAAGACAGAAUCCUGCCGUAUCCAAAUGUUUGGAUCCUGCCAUGUGUCCUGCAUGUACCAUAUUGUAAAUUAAACCAUUAAAAAAAUGUUUUGAAAUGCAAAAGCUCACCUGGUCCUCUGGCAGUCGGUUCUGUUGGCAGGGAGCCUGACGCUUCUGGCACAAGGAACCUCAGUUGUUUUGGAAGUGGCACGGGUGUCUUCACAGGAGGACUGACUGGAGAGGCUAGAAUAAAAAAUAGAAUUAAUAGAUGAUUUAAUUUGAA
rnacentral:lncRNA from 1 species